rnacentral:rRNA from 1 species
UACGGAGGGGGCUAGCGUUGUUCGGAAUUACUGGGCGUAAAGCGCACGUAGGCGGCUUUGUAAGUUAGAGGUGAAAGCCCGGGGCUCAACUCCGGAAUUGCCUUUAAAACUGCAUCGCUAGAAUUGUGGAGAGGUGAGUGGAAUUCCGAGUGUAGAGGUGAAAUUCGUAGAUAUGACUUAGAACACCAAUUGCGAAGGCAGCUCGCUGGGACGUAACUGACACUGAGGCGCGAAAGCGUGGGGAGCAAACAGG